UACGAGGGGGGCGAGCGUUGUUCGGAAUUAUUGGGCGUAAAGGGUGCGUAGGCGGUUUGGUAAGUCUCGUGUGAAAUCUACAGGCUCAACUUGUAGUCUGCACGAGAAACUGCCGGGCUUGAGUGUGGGAGAGGUGAGUGGAAUUCCCGGUGUAGCGGUGAAAUGCGUAGAUAUCUGGAGGAACACCGGUGGCGAAGGCGGCAUUCUGGACCGACAUUGACGCUGAGGAGCGAAAGCCAGGGGAGCAAACGGG
rnacentral:rRNA from 1 species